rnacentral:rRNA from 1 species
GAUACCUACGGGAGGCAGCAGUGAGGAAUAUUGGUCAAUGGGCGGGAGCCUGAACCAGCCAAGUCGCGUGAAGGAAGAAGGUACUUAGUAUUGUAAACUUCUUUUGUCGGGGAACAAAGGCGGAGACGCGUCUCCGGAUGAGUGUACCCGAAGAAAAAGCAUCGGCUAACUCCGUGCCAGCAGCCGCGGUAAUACGGAGGAUGCGAGAGUUAUCCGGAUUUAUUGGGUUUAAAGGGUGCGCAGGCGGGAGAUCAAGUCUGAAGUGAAAAUCCAGCGCUUAACGUUGGAAGAGCUUUGGAAACUGC